rnacentral:misc_RNA from 1 species
CAACCCUCAAGCUCUGCUUGGUGUUGGGCCACGCCCCCGCGGCCGGCCCCAAAGCUAGUGGCGGUGCCGUCUGGCUCUAAGCGUAGUACAUCUCUCGCUCUAGGGCCCGGCGGUUGCUUGCCAGAACCCACACUCUUAU